GGGAUGGAGGGGACUUCAGCACCCCACUGAGGAACUGGGACUUUUCUUGGAGAUUGUUGUUUCUCAAGGGAAAGUGGGGUGGCACCCCUGCUUCCAGAGGCAUUUGAUGAUGCGCAAGGAAAUCCAGAAGUCAUGAAAUAAACGUGACUUAGCUUUCUUGAGUUUGCAGGAGAGCACAUAAAUAAUGGAUAUUUUACGGAACCUGUAAUGCAAAAUCCCCAUGCACUUAAAGCUGAAAUAGACUUUCAUUCUGUUUGACUGUGGCGGGCUACUUCAGGAUGUGUCCUCAGGCCCGGGGACACCAUUCUGCCCACUGUGCCCUGACAGCGUGUCUGUGCAAGUGCAGGCAAAGCCCUGGGAAGUCUUGGGGGGAGAGGGGGUUGGGAAGGUUUUCUCGGCAGGAGAGGAGGUCACGUGGCAUUUCACAAAGCUCACUCCUGCUGCGCCAGUAGGGGGAACGGAUGGCCGCAGGGGCCUGGGGCCAGAGAGAAAGAGUCCUCAGGUCUGAUUCCCUGGAGAGCAUCUCAGUGCUUUGCAAAAAUUAUCUCUAAGUCCUACCACAACUGGAAAGGGGGAUUCUAUUCGUUUUACAGUUUUACGGAGGAAGAAACUAAAGCUGAGAAGGACAAAGAGAACUUCCCAAGGUCAUGCAGCUAGUAAGUGGCUGUCUCAGAACCACAGCAGCCAGACUCCAGAAAUCCCGUUGCCCAGGCCCAAAGUAUCACUACUGACCAUCUCCUCCUCCCUGGAAAUCUCAAUCAACACUGUUAUGGGGUCAACCUCAGAGUGUGUGCUCCAAUAAAUUUGCACGGCCUUCUUGUUUAUCAGCUCUGUACUGGUAAAUGGUGCUCUGGCCCCUCACAAGAGCCUCAGGAAGGCAUGACGUCAUGUGUGGGACGCUGAGCCUCCUGAAGUGGCCACUGAAACUCCAGCCUCCCGUGGAGUCCUGGUUUGAGGGAGACCACCAUGAGACAUGUGAACAAAGGACAGGCUCCAUGGUGCACCUGGACCUUCUGGACCCUCCACUCUGGGGCUUCCAGCUGUGCCAGAUAUCCCUGCACCAGGAAUGUUGCACAGAAAGCACAGAGCCACCUGACUCUAAGGGUCCACGCCAGGCUGCUUCAGUCAGUAGGUGUCCAAGUGGUAAAGAGGCGGGCCUAGUGACUACAUCAGAAGGAAGCUCCAGAAGUUUCCACAUGGUUCUAGUAGGGGUGUGAGAGCACUUGGGGUAGAUUAAAGUUGAUUUGGAAGAAUUAAAGGUCUAUGAGUCAGUAGAGCCAUUCAAACCAGCGUAUGUCUCAGGGCUUACUGGAGUUGAGUAUACAUGGGUUGGGCUCUGGGUGGAGAGGACCUUUGUUCCUAGAGUGGCCAUGUCCAAGAGGAUGGCCAGGCCAGACCAGAUGCUGGGUGCCCAGAGGUGGAAAGGGAAAGAAAUUACCAUGAAUGGUUUAAACUAAUGAGAUUCAUCUCUUGAGGAUGGGAAGGGGUCCUUGUGUUCAUGGCUGCCUGAUAUCUGACCAAGAAAGGUGGACAGAGAAGGCUGUUGGGUAGGAAGCUACUAGUGUCUGCUCAUACCCGCUUCCAUGUGUUCUACCUUGAGUAUUUCUGAAGCCUGUUGUAUAUUGCCGUUUAAUCUGAAAGGAAGAGAGAAAGCAAAGACCCACCUGAUGUUUCUGAGUAUCAAAGUUACCUCAGGAGGAGGGAGGCGCAUGGCUAUCCUUAAGCCAGGGGCUGAUGUGUGUUGUGGCCUGCCUGCAUCACUGGUAAGAAGGGCCCAGAAAUCUUUCUGCCUGGGGGACAGAGAAGCCUUCUGGGAAAGCAUUCAAACUUAAGCCAAAGUAUGUCCUUGAGAAGAGAUCACAGACACAAGUCUGAAUCAGUUAGAAUGCCCCAGCCCUCAGACAGGAGCAACAACGGAAGGUCAGCAGAGUGCCGUCACUCCGUUUUAUCCCCUUCCCAGCACCCCCAUGUCCUCAACAGUUAAAUUAAUCCCAUCGUUAAAAAAGAGUGAGCUUAUAAAAUAUGGCUUCACCUUAGUUCUGAGUGACUGAGACUCCGGCUGGGAAACCAUGGGGCAAAAUGAGGCACUUUUCCUGGAGUCUUGUGCUUUUGAGGAUCUCAGAGAACACAGCGCACCGGGGCCCCUCAUGGAGAGCCCUGCUUACCAUCGACAGUGUCCUGCAGCGGUGGCCAUCCAUCCAGCAAUGUCAGGGGCCCCUGGCAACUGUGGCUGAGCCCACUGGGGUCUGACAACAUAGCCCGAGUGGGUAAUGGUGGUCACUCCAAGUACCUUUGUCUAGACUCGCUCCCCAGGUAAUUUUAGCCUGUUCUUGGCUCGCACGUACAGCACCUUUGUGAGAAUUAGAAAUAGGAGCCCGGUCUGGAUGGAAGAAUUAUGAAAAGGCAGCUCUCCCCUGGUGUGUAGCAAGACUUGACAAGUGGGUCUAAGGCUGCAUUUCAGCCUUUCUCCAAAGCCAGGCAUUUCUGGACAUUUUAACAUUUUUAAAAUCCAGAAAAGUAUAAAGAGGAAAAUAGAAAUCACCCAUAAUCUCAAUAUUUCAACCCUCGGAAAACUUAAUGUGGAGAGAAGUUGGAUCCAGAGGGUCCUUUAAGGCCCUUCCUUUGGACGAUGACGUUGAGUCUUGCUGGCCAAACCAGGGCCUGUGCUGGAUGCCAGGUCUCGCUGCUCCCUCGCCAGCCUGGGGCCCUGGCCAUGGUGCUAUACAGGCUGUGCUGAACAACACUCUUGUUUUCUCCACAGCCUUGACCCAGGAAUUCGGUUUCUCUUCAUCGGAUUCCAGGUGUUGCGUUCCUGGAACUCACGGCCCUCUGGAAAACCAUUCAUUGACUCAUUCUCAUUUGAGAAUAUUUCUGGAGCAUCUUCUCUGCCCCAUUCUUACUCUGGAGAAAAAAAAAAAGUCACAGUUGAGUCCCUCCCCCUCUGCCCCUGUGGGCCAGCUGCUCUGACUCUUGGCAGCUGUCAGCUGUCCCUGUGCUCAGAGCCUUGUCUCCCUUUGGCCUCUCAUCCCAAGAUACUCAGCUGCAUGCCAAAGAUCUGCUCUCUGGUGAGUCCCUCUAGUAGCCAUUCUCGGUACAGGGCCCCGAACAUUCCUUCACUUGGGUCGACCUUUGGCAACAUCCUUUAUACUGUCUCAGGACCAGGCCCUGCAUGAUCUGAAAGGUCCCAGCAGAGGUGCGUUUGGGUGAUUGAGUCAGCUGAGCUUCCAACUCUAGAUUUCUGCUCAGGUCAUGAUUUCACGGUCGUGGGAUCGAGCCCCAAGUCAUACGCUGACAGUGUGGUGCCUACUUUGGAUUCUCUCUCUCUUUGCCCCUCCCCCCACUCAUUCUCUCUCUCCCUCCCUCUCUCUCUCUGUCUCAAAAUAAAGGAAUAAACAUUAAAAAAAAAAAAAAAAGUCCCAGCGGAUGGCAGAAAGAUCGCAGUGGAAAGAAGGGAAGUGUCAGACAAAACUCCAAGGAGGAGGUAGAUUUGAAGGACUGAGGUUCUCAAGAGGUAGAAACUGCAGGCAGAUAUUUUAGGUACAGGUGGCAGCUGAGCAGAGCAGAUGGACCCUCGGGACAUGCCAGGGUAGCCUGCCACCAUGUUUCUACACAUGUAAACUUCGCGUGCAUGCUAAUGUCAUACACCUGCAUGCUCACAUCUGUGUACAAGGGUUCUUCCUGAGGCUGGGCCCGAAGAGCUUUAACAGGCAAGUGGUUCUGACACCAGAGGUAAGAGCUUCAAUUAGCCUUUAGAGCAGACCCUUUCUUCUCUCCUUCCUUCCUCCCUUCCUUCCUUUUUUCCUUUCUUCCUUCUUCUCUCCCUCCCUUUUUCCCUUCACCAUCAAAAAGGACCCUUGAGUCCCACGAAUAUAAGAUGACAUUAUUCUUGGGGAAAACCAUCAAGUUAUUAACUCAUAAGGGAUUGUAUAUGGAUGUGUCUGAACUUUGUCACCAAGGCUGCUGGCAGUGUG